UGAAUCAACAUGUGGUAUCAUAACAUAUUGUAUGCGGAAGAUAAACUAACACAUGCUGAUAUACUGAAAGUCUGGAUGAUAUAAAUCAAAGUGCGAAAAUACUAAUACAAUUCUUAAACAUAUUUGUAGCCGACAUAACUUAAUAUGAAAAGCCUGUGACUUUGUAUAACUAUUACUCUAGUCUAUGAAGCCUCUAUUCGAGUACUGAAAACACUGACUGUAUGUGAAUACUGAAGACUGUAGUAAUGAUAAUCCCCCGAAAGGACUGAGGAUCACCAAAUAGCUGGUACGAGAAUCCUAGCGCUCAGAAUCGUCAACCUAUAAAUCAUUACCUGCAUCGUGAGAUGCAGGCCCCAGGCAAAAGGGAUGUCAGUACAUUUGAAUUGCACUGGUAUAUAAGACAACUGAAAGAAAGAAUUAUAAAUGCUGAAGCUGAAACUAAGCUGAUAACUGAGAAUUGAUAAUUGAUACUGAAAUGAUAACUAUUGAAAUAGAAAUUAAAAAGAUAACUGAUAGUUGAUAACUGAACUUAUAACUGAUAAAUGAAAUGAUAACUGAACCGAUAAUUGAUUACUAAAAUGAUAACUGAUAACUGGUAAUUGGAAUGAUAACUGAUAACUGAAAUGAACAAAGGAAGUAAGGAUAUGAAUACUCCCUCUUCUAAAUGAUGAACAACCUGUUUAUUUGAAUAAAUAAACUACGGCCUCAGGCCCAAUAAAUAUAUGUGCACAACUACGGUCUCAGGCCCAAGUAUACGUAUACAUACCUAUGACCUCAGAUCUAAAAUGCAAGCAUAAACUGCGGCCUCAGGCCCAAAGAUGCAUAAAGCAUUAACUGCGGCCUCAGGACCAAAUACAGGUGUUCGACAUUCAGGGGUUUAAAAUUAGGAUUUGAGAAUCAUACUGCAAUACGUAAUAGUGAAUUACUGAAUUCCGCUGAGUUACAUUAUGCUGGAAUACUGGAUCACACUGAGUUACAUUAUACUGGAAUACUAAAUCAUACUGAGUUACACAGUACUUGAAUACUGAAUAGGACUAGAAUGAGACAUGUAUUCUUGAAUUGGUUGUGAACACUGAAACUUUAACUGUUUAUGACAUGCUGAGUAAGCUAUACUGAGACUUAGGGGCAUCAAGCCCAAGUCUAUUUUGAAUACGAACUGAGCUCACAACAUUCAGAAUGAAAGUCAUAAACGAGUUAUGAAACUAGAGAAUAGAAGUUCUACAACUCUUCAAGGAACUAGGCUUAACUAUAUUUCUAAGGCAAUUGAUACGUCGUAAAAGAAACGUAGUGUAGGGAGAAUCAUUAAAAUUUCCAAACAUAGAGAGUUAGCCUCACAUACCUUAACUUCCUGCUCUUGAGCAUAAUACAAUAUUCGCCAACCCUUUCAACUUUAAUCUAUAUCAAUACAAGUCAAAGGCAUUCCAAAUUAGCAACAAUAGUCAUGUUUUGGUCAAUUAGGCAUUUUAUCAAAUACUCGGUGGCAUAAAGCUUCAUAGCCCUUAUUAAUGGUGUCUCUACACCCAAUAACCCAUUAAUUUGCUCUUAGAUAAAUUCUAAAGUCUCAAAUGGUUAUAAUCAACAUUAUUCUUUAUCACCCAU
rnacentral:lncRNA from 1 species